rnacentral:rRNA from 1 species
UACAGAGGUCUCAAGCGUUGUUCGGAUUCAUUGGGCGUAAAGGGUGCGUAGGUGGCGCCGUAAGUCAGGUGUGAAAUCUCGGAGCUUAACUCCGAAACUGCAUUCGAUACUGCUGUGCUUGAGGACUGGAGAGGAGACUGGAAUUUACGGUGUAGCGGUGAAAUGCGUAGAUAUCGUAAGGAAGACCAGUGGCGAAGGCGGGUCUCUGGACAGUUCCUGACGCUGAGGCACGAAGGUCAGGGGAGCAAACGGG